UACAGAGGGUGCGAGCGUUAAUCGGAGUUACUGGGCGUAAAGGGCGCGUAGGCGGCCAUUCAAGUCGGGGGUGAAAGCCUGUGGCUCAACCACAGAAUUGCCUUCGAUACUGUUUGGCUUGAGUAUGGCAGAGGUUAGUGGAACUGCGAGUGUAGAGGUGAAAUUCGUAGAUAUUCGCAAGAACACCAGUGGCGAAGGCGGCUAACUGGGCCAUUACUGACGCUGAGGCGCGAAAGCGUGGGGAGCAAACAGG
rnacentral:rRNA from 1 species